AGAGAACUUGCAAGUUCCGGAAACUGGGUGUUGUAUGACAAGAAUACUCAAUACAGUCAGAAAGAGAGGGCGUGAACAAAAUUGCUAAUGCAAAUAUCGAAUGCUGCUGAAACAAUUAGGGAUGUUAAGUAAGAAGCUUGUACAGCAGGCUGCUAUGAUUGGUGUGCAGGCUGGAAAGAAGUUUGAGUUCAAAUUGUUCGAAGGCAUGGUCAAAGCCCCGGUCCAAAAAAAGCUUAAGAAGUCUUUCCUAUCUCAUCCGUGAUGCGUAUGAUGUGUUGCAUUGCCAAUGGACUUGUAUUACUAAAAAUCUUCUGCAUUGUAUCGACUAUAUUUGUUGGCCGUGUGUGUCCACUAUGUUCUAUGCUAGCCAUGUGAGGUCUACAUAUAUAGACUUGCUAAA